UCUCCUAAGAAGAAGCAGCUAUCUUGAAGGGUUUUAUCCUGUUAGUUUUCCACUGUACCACCCAUGGUACACAUACCUUUGUAGAGGAUUUUUUAUUGUUUAUCAUUUAUUUUUUUGAUUUAUAAAAUUAUGCAUUGAUAUUUGUUUUCUCUCUGUCUUAUGUGACAUUUAAAACAGCCUGUUCAGUGGAAAAUUACUGCUUAUGCUGUUGUAUUUUAAGAAGCACUUCUGAAACUAACAAAGGAAGUGAGGCAAAGGUGCAAAUGUGUUUGACUAGAAAGCUUGGAGUUCAAUAGUCAUCUGCUAAGUUUUAGACCACUUUCUUUUUUAUUCUUCUGAUCCAUAUAUGGUAAUAUGUGUAACGAUUGGUUUGUGGUAACAAGGAACAAUAAGAGGGGUAUAUAAGACAGCACUGUGUGAGGGUGUUCUUCUCUGUAGAACUCUGUAUCUGCAUUGAACAACCUUCUUGCAAGAAUAAAAUCAGCACAGACAUUUCAAAUGUUUGUUUCAUUACAUUCUCACCACUAAAGGAAUAAACAAUUUUUCCACAACAAUUUGGUGUCAGAAGUGCGGAUUCCGCGUGUGAUUUGUCUGGACCUGAAAACGCUUGAGGUUGAUCACCCUGGUCUCCAAAGACUGACUCCCUACCCCAAAGUCUUCAGGGAAGAGGGACAAGCAUCUGAGGGCCCAGACAUUCACCGCCGGAAUCUCAAAGAAUCCUCAGCAAGGAAGAAGGCAUGUUUGCCCGGUGAGUCUGUUUUGAAACCAUAAAAAUUAGGUUUGAUAUUUUCAGACCCCUUUUUUUUGUGUUGCGCACCUCUCUACUUCUGAGUCUGUGAGGGUGAAUAUUUCUAAAGCACUAGAAAUAAGUUGAUUUGAGUCAAAGUACUGACUCAAAGGAGAGGUUUUUCUACCGAGUCUGUGCAGAAAAGGGUUUCUUUGCCGAGUCUGUUCAAAGACAAACUGUGGUGACGACUGCAGGGUGAGGAAAAAGGGAUGUCCCGAGUUUCAGUGACACAGAAGAUGGGGUCUGGAAACAGCAAACAAAAAUUUACUAGUCCAAUUUAUAAAGAAAUGAAAAGAAAAUAUUGCGAUAGAGCUUUGGCAGAAAUCCCAAAUUGGAAAGAAAAUUAUGACUAUUCUUUCAACUGUUGAUGGACUGAAAAUGAUGGCACAUGAAAUAAUGUGAAAUGAGAAAUUAAUAAUUCUAUUUAAAUCCUCAGGAUGUUUGAAUGUCUAAUGAUUUAAGAGAAUUGGUAUUGUGAAGUCCUUGUAAGGCACUAAAACAUAAUUUGAUAGAUUACAAUUUUUAGAAUUCUGUAAAUCAAUCUGGACAAGAAUGGACAGCAGAUUAUUGUAGCCCAAGUUCACUUUGAUCAAGUGAAGUUUUGAAACAAAUUAAUUCCCGCUCUGUCUCUGCUGUGUUAGAUUGAAAUCUUAAAACCAUUGUAUAUCAAAUCCAUGGUGAAUCAUGAGUCAGAUACCAACUAAGAUAUGCGCAACUGUAUUCAUAAUUUAACAGAGUAGAUUUUUAUGAGAUUUGAUUUAUGUCUUGGCUCUGAUAGGUUAAAAAAACUAUGCUUUAAUGAAAUGCUGAAGUUUCAAGAGUUAAAUUAAUACAAAGUACAAUGUUAAUUGAAUGCCAUCAAAGAUAUGGCUUAUAUUAUAUUUUGUUAAUUAGACGUCUGAAAAUUGUACUCAAUAUCCCUGGAAGGCAGUUUGAGAUUUGAUACAUUGCAGAAAUGUUAUGAUUUUGGUUUGUUAACUAAGAUAACAUUUGUGCAUUGUGUUGAAUGAGAACGAGAUUGGGUGACCAAGUUAAAUAGAAAUUUUGAUUUAAACAUGCAGGCACAUAACAGACAUCUUAAAGUAAUGUUAGUUUCUAGUAAAAGAGAAAAGGCAAAGAACUCUUUACUAUUUUAUAUAUAUACACCAUACACUUAUAUACACCAUACUCUAUAUUAAUUAGAGUAGUUUACAUUCUGUUUACUGCAUUUUGCAAAGAAGGAUCUGCUUGCUUUUUCUUUCAAAAAGGAACUAAGCUUAUUAACAGAAGGAAGAACUGCUGUUGUGUUAACCAUGCUGAGACUUCUGGAAUUAAGGGACAUUGAUUACAGUUAUAAAAAUAUAUAUAUCUAUAUAAAAAAUAAUAAAUAAAUAAAUGAAUGAAUGAAUGAAUGAAUGAAUGAUUUUUAUUAAUUAUAUUAUGCGGUUCUCUUGAGUGUUCACAUUUCAGACCAGGCAGCUUCUGGAACUGCCACCUUGACAAAUGGGAACAAAUAGUCUGUUUGACAAGACAUGACUGUAGAGAGAAGAAGAGGAAGUGGCUGAUGGGCUUUCAGCUUCCUUUCUAAAAGAGGAGGUUUGACACUUCUGGAGGGGUCAGCAUGGAGAGGACUGAUACAGUGCAGGAAAGAUUUUUGAGACUUUUCCUAAGAGCAAUUCUGCCAUGCAUUAUGCGAUUUUGUGGCAGGAAUGAUCAAAAGUCAGACUGUGAGACAGAGAAACAGCAUACAGCUCAACACCAGGCCUUUGAGUGCCAUCACUGGCUGAUGAUCCAAUGCAACAACCCAACAAGUUCAACUGACUGAUGAUCCACACAGAACACAGAAGGACUUCCAUUACCGCUUCGAAUUCUGUUAAUUAUCAUAUUAAUUUGAUUUCUUUUGAUUAUUCACUGGUCUCACAGCAGUUCUUUGUAUUCUCUGUUAAACUAACAUUCUGAAUCUGCUUUCAAUAGGUACCAGUCUUAAUGAAGGAAAAGGAAGUUCAUAAACAGAAGUGGGAGUUUGACUCACCAAUCAAUUAAAACUGGGGCUGGAUUUGGUAUAGUGAGGGUUAUUACAUUACAACUAGGGGUAAAGACAAAUAGAUUAUUGACUAUGCAGAAGUUUUCUGGUAAAAAAAAAAAAAAAAAAAAAGGAAAAUGAGGCACAAGGUGCCCAAAGAGAAAAUUAUGGCUAAAAAGCAACAAUAUUGGUCAUUCCAUUUCAUUGAAGAAUAAUAACUAAAGACUCCAAAAUUUUAAAUCACAAAUGUUGUCAUCACCAGGGGUAUGAAAUAGGAAUGUUAUUUGUCUAUGGAUCCAAGACUGAGUGGAAAUCUCAAAUCUUCAAAGUAGCUUGUCAGAAAGCCCGCGCCGGAACGGAAAAUACACAACGGUUUCUGACGGACUGAUGUGAGAGUUGCUACUUCCAUCAGACUGAUAAGAGAGCCAGCUCCAGCCGCGCUCUUCCCGAUAUUGUUCAGUGUUGUGAGUUCAUGCAAAAUUACCACAACACAACUUUCCAUAACUCCACACAAUUAUAUUGUAAAUGGAUAUUACUGACUGCCUGACAAGUGCUAUUAAAGAGAAGUUUGAAGAGGAUAUACUUCUCCUGUGCCUGAUUCUCUUAUCGGAAUCAUUGUCCAUAUUUGUCCGCCAUCAGAUCCAUGUUUUAAAAUAGAUGUUGGGAAGUGCUUCCCCACAUAGCUCAUGAGCAUGAAAACAUUGUAAUUGUGCAAUGGAUGACAAAUUGCAUUUGAGAAAAUGAAAUUGGCUUUCUCAACUGCAGGCCUAAGUCUACAUGAUUAUUCUAAACUAUUUAAUCUAUUUUAUUUUGAAAAGUGAGGUUUACAUUCGUGGUGUUAAAAUGAAUCUCAUGGUGACUGACAUCAGACAAGUGAUAAUUAAUGUGCUAACGUUUAGACACUAUCGCAAGGGGAAUGCCACAACAUGUCUACGUUUAGUAGCUCCUGUCAUCGGCAAAGUUUUGUUACCCAUUCAGACUUGGGGGUAUUCCACUUUUAAUAAUAUAUACAUUCCCCAUUCAUUUUACAAUCUGCUGAGGCAGACAAAAAUGUAUGAUUCUCUGGCCAGAGAGGUGUGCUAGUGUGUGAAAGUGUGUGUGAAGGAUGGAGAGAUUGUGUUUGGUGAGACACCAAAGAAAAACAAAUCAUUCCAGUCAAAACAGCUGUAUCUAAAUGUAUUAAGUGGACCCACAGGUCAGAAUGUGCCCAAUAAAAUAAUGGCCAUAGAUGAAUUUGGCUUAAUAUUC